rnacentral:lncRNA from 1 species
AGGGCGCCAAAGGCGACGCCGGCGACCAGCUCCAGGCCCAGCGCAGUGGCCUGCAGGACCGGGCCCUUUCGGCGCGGGCCGGGUAGGCGACCCCAGGGCGCCGCCUAGAGGUCGGUGGCGGCCUCGGCCUCCUCGCCGGCGACAGCUGCCGCCAGAAACUGCAGGCCAACGCAAACCAAACAAAAACCAAAUCAAACAAGACAAAUUCCAAGCUUGGGCCAGCGGCUAGGCUUUUGGCUCCUCUGACUUUUACGAAACGACCUCCCCCUCUGCCCUAGAAGAAACGUCAGAAAAGGGAGCGGGGCCGGGAAGUCUCAGAAACUCGUGUUCUUUCGGUUUUCAGGGGAAGAGGGGCCCAGUCUUGGCUUCUUGCAGGACCUGUCUUCUGCGCUGCCCCCGCUUACCAGGCCAGGAGGGGAUGUAAACCAUUUGAAGUUCAUCAACAGGGUGAAGUUUUAUUGGAUUUCCGGUCCCCAAGAUUUAUACCCAGGAGGGUGAGGGUGAGGCCAGGCGGACUCCCUCCCUCCUUACCUCGGGUUUCCCUGCCGGACACGUGGCCGCUCAGACUGUCGCCUCUGGGAUGGACUCACACUCUGCACCUUGCAACAGAGUUGCAUCCAGCGCUGUCGCCGGCCAUAGCUCAGUACCGGGUCGCCCCACUGUCCUGGCGACAGCCCAGUCUCAGAGCUGGGGGAUCAUGUAGGGUGGAAGAUUUGACCUCUCAGAGCCACUCUGGAGGCCAGGUGACCCUGGAGCCGGGACUGGCCAGGUGGCCGGUGCCAGGUGGUACUCCUUGGUCAUGGGGAGAGCUGAGAAUCCUUCUCAUCUGUGGAGAGUUCCCGCUGUGGAGACAGAGGCCAAGCAGGUAUCUCAAAGUGGCCCUGCCUGAGCUGGAGUCUCUUGGAAAACAGAAGUUUCUGGAAAAUGACCUGCCAGGACCAGCUCCGAGCAGCUGUUACCUGCAGUCCCGGGUCCAGUUCUUCGGACGAGUUGUUCGCUGGCCACUGGGUCUGCGGGAGGAGGUGAGGGAAAUAAGUUACAGAGGGGAGUAA